GAGGGGUCAGUAGAUGUGCUAUAGCGAGCGCAGUGCCUGCUGUUAGUUCCCAGCGAGUUAGCUCGGGAGUAGUACCAGGAGUAACAGUGCAAAUGAUGAGGAAUCAGGGGAUGACUUCAAACAGUUUGGGCCGGCACUCUUGGGAGAGCUCACGUCAUCCAAUGGCGGGAACAGAGAGCAGGCGUUGCGCGAGCAGGAGGGAAU
rnacentral:rRNA from 1 species